rnacentral:rRNA from 1 species
AGAGUUUGAUCAUGGCUCAGAACGAACGCUGGCGGCGUGGAUAAGACAUGCAAGUCGAACGCUAAUUAAACGGCAGCAAUGUCGUUUAGUUGGAGUGGCGCACGGGUGCGUAACACGUGGGUAAUUUGCCAUGAAGUUGGGGAUAAUCCCGCGAAAGCGGGACUAAUACCGGAUGUGACGAUUGGGAGGCAUCUCCUGAUUUUUAAAGUUGGGGAUCCCGCGAAAGCGGGACCUGACGCUUCAUGAUAAGCCCGCGGCCUAUCAGCUAGUUGGUGAGGUAACGGCUCACCAAGGCUAAGACGGGUAGCUGGUCUGAGAGGACGACCAGCCACACUGGAACUGAGAGACGGUCCAGACACCUACGGGUGGCAGCAGUCGAGAAUUUUUCUCAAUGGGCGAAAGCCUGAAGGAGCGACGCCGCGUGGGGGAUGAAGGGUUUCGAUCCGUAAACCCCUGUCAUUUGCGAACAAACCUUAUUAUUGAAUAAAUGAUGAGCUGAUUGUAGCGAAAGAGGAAGGGACGGCUAACUCUGUGCCAGCAGCCGCGGUAAUACAGAGGUCCCGAGCGUUGUUCGGAUUCACUGGGCGUAAAGGGUGCGUAGGUGGCGGGGUAAGUUUGAUGUGAAAUCUCCGGGCUUAACCCGGAAAAGGCAUUGAAUACUAUUCUGCUUGGAGGGUUGGAGGGGGGACUGGAAUUCUCGGUGUAGCAGUGAAAUGCGUAGAUAUCGAGAGGAACACCAGUGGCGAAGGCGAGUCCCUGGACAACACCUGACACUGAGGCACGAAAGCUAGGGGAGCAAACAGGAUUAGAUACCCUAGUAGUCC